rnacentral:rRNA from 1 species
AUUGAACGCUGGCGGCAGGCCUAACACAUGCAAGUCGAGCGGUAGAGAGAAGCUUGCUUCUCUUGAGAGCGGCGGACGGGUGAGUAAUGCCUAGGAAUCUGCCUGAUAGUGGGGGAUAACGUCCGGAAACGGACGCUAAUACCGCAUACGUCCUACGGGAGAAAGUGGGGGCUCUUCGGACCUCACGCUAUCAGAUGAGCCUAGGUCGAAUUAGCUAGUUGGUGGGGUAAAGGCUCACCAAGGCUACGAUCCGUAACUGGUCUGAGAGGAUGAUCAGUCACACUGGAACUGAGACACGGUCCAGACUCCUACGGGAGGCAGCAGUGGGGAAUAUUGGACAAUGGGCGAAAGCCUGAUCCAGCCAUGCCGCGUGUGUGAAGAAGGUCUUCGGAUUGUAAAGCACUUUAAGUUGGGAGGAAGGGUCGUUACCUAAUACGUGGCGAUUUUGACGUUACCGACAGAAUAAGCACCGGCUAACUCUGUGCCAGCCGCCGCAGUAAAAC